UACAGAGGGUGCGAGCGUUAAUCGGAAUUACUGGGCGUAAAGCGCGCGUAGGCGGCUUUGCAAGUCGGGUGUGAAAUCCCCAGGCUUAACCUGGGAACUGCAUUCGAGACUGCAUUGCUAGAGUAUGGGAGAGGGAAGUGGAAUUUCCGGUGUAGCGGUGAAAUGCGUAGAGAUCGGGAGGAACAUCAGUGGCGAAGGCGGCCAUCUGGAUCAACACUGACGCUGAAGCACGAAAGCGUGGGGAGCAAACAGG
rnacentral:rRNA from 1 species